CCUACGGGUGAUGCAGUGGGGAAUAUUGGACAAUGGGCGAAAGCCUGAUCCAGCCAUGCCGCGUGUGUGAAGAAGGCCUUCGGGUUGUAAAGCACUUUCAGUGGGGAAGAAAGCCUUGGGGCUAAUACCCUCGAGGAAGGACAUCACCCACAGAAGAAGCACCGGCUAACUCCGUGCCAGCAGCCGCGGUAAUACGGAGGGUGCGAGCGUUAAUCGGAAUUACUGGGCGUAAAGCGCGCGUAGGCGGUCUGAUAAGCCGGUUGUGAAAGCCCCGGGCUCAACCUGGGAACGGCAUCCGGAACUGUCAGGCUAGAGUGCAGGAGAGGAAGGUAGAAUUCCCGGUGUAGCGGUGAAAUGCGUAGAGAUCGGGAGGAAUACCAGUGGCGAAGGCGGCCUUCUGGACUGACACUGACGCUGAGGUGCGAAAGCGUGGGUAGCAAACAGGAUUAGAUACCCGAGUAGUC
rnacentral:rRNA from 1 species